AACGCACGAGACCUGCGGACCUGCGGAGGGAUCAUUACAGAGUUGCAAAACUCCCAAACCAUUGUGAACGUUACCUUCUCGUUGCUUCGGCGGGCGGCCCGGGUCCUUCCCGGCGCCCCCCGGCCCCUCGCGGGCGCCCGCCGGAGGUAAACCAAACUCUUGAAUUGUAUGGCCUCUCUGAGUCUUCUGUACUGAAUAAGUCAAAACUUUUAGCAAUGGAUCUCUAGAUCGGAAGAGCAC
rnacentral:misc_RNA from 1 species